UAACCGCUGAAAGCAUCUAAGCGGGAAACUCGCCUCAAGAUGAGACUUCCCGGGGUUUAAAACCCCCUAAAGGUUCGUCGAAGACCACGACGUUGAUAGGUCAGGUGUGGAAGCGCAGUAAUGCGUUAAGCUAACUGAUACUAAUUGACCGUGAGGCUUGAUCCC
rnacentral:rRNA from 1 species